GAUGAACGCUGGCGGCGUGCCUAAUACAUGCAAGUCGAGCGAAUGGAUUAAGAGCUUGCUCUUAUGAAGUUAGCGGCGGACGGGUGAGUAACACGUGGGUAACCUGCCCAUAAGACUGGGAUAACUCCGGGAAACCGGGGCUAAUACCGGAUAACAUUUUGAACCGCAUGGUUCGAAAUUGAAAGGCGGCUUCGGCUGUCACUUAUGGAUGGACCCGCGUCGAAUUAGCUAGUUGGUGAGGUAACGGCCCACCAAGGCAACGAUGCGUAGCCGACCUGAGAGGGUGAUCGGCCACACUGGGACUGAGACACGGCCCAGACUCCUACGGGAGGCAGCAGUAGGGAAUCUUCCGCAAUGGACGAAAGUCUGACGGAGCAACGCCGCGUGAGUGAUGAAGGCUUUCGGGUCGUAAAACCCUGUUGUUAGGGAAGAACAAGUGCUAGUUGAAUAAGCUGGCACCUUGACGGUACCUAACCAGAAAGCCACGGCUAACUACGUGCCAGCCGCCGCGGUAA
rnacentral:rRNA from 1 species